AUACGGAGGAUCCGAGCGUUAUCCGGAUUUAUUGGGUUUAAAGGGAGCGUAGGUGGGAUAUUAAGUCAGCUGUGAAAGUUUGGGGCUCAACCUUAAAAUUGCAGUUGAUACUGGUUUCCUUGAGUACGGUACAGGUGGGCGGAAUUCGUGGUGUAGCGGUGAAAUGCUUAGAUAUCACGAAGAACUCCGAUCGCGAAGGCAGCUCACCGGGCCGGAACUGACACUGAUGCUCGAAAGUGCGGGUAUCAAACAGGAUUAGAUACCCUGGUAGUCCGCACAGUAAACGAUGAAUACUCGCUGUUUGCGAUACACUGUAAGCGGCCAAGCGAAAGCGUUAAGUAUUCCACCUAGGGAGUACGCCGGCAACGGUGAAACUCAAAUGAAUUGGCGGGG
rnacentral:rRNA from 1 species